CACCUCCCCCACCUUGACACUUUGUCAAUAUUGUCUCUCAUUUCUUCCAUCUCUUUCCCCUAUUCCCUUACCUCUAUCUAUCACCAGCUUUUCUAUUUCCUUUUAUUCUAUUUUUCUUCACAUAUAAUGCCGGAGGACAUGAAUCUUUCGAUAAAUGGUCAGUCUCAGGUCCCUCCAGGUUUUAGAUUUCAUCCCACAGAAGAGGAGCUUCUUCACUACUACCUCAGGAAGAAGGUAGCCUAUGAGAAGAUAGAUCUCGAUGUCAUUCGUGAGGUUGAUCUUAACAAGCUUGAGCCCUGGGAUAUUCAAGAGAAAUGCAAAAUAGGAUCCACCCCACAGAAUGAUUGGUACUUCUUUAGUCACAAGGACAAGAAAUACCCAACCGGGACUAGAACUAACCGAGCGACGGCAGCCGGAUUCUGGAAAGCCACUGGCCGUGAUAAGAUCAUCUACAGCGGCUUUAAAAGAAUUGGUUUGAGGAAGACUCUAGUGUUUUACAAGGGGCGAGCUCCACAUGGCCAAAAAUCUGAUUGGAUCAUGCAUGAAUAUAGGCUUGAUGAUAGCUUUCAUGACAGCACUGUAAGCCAUUUUCCUUUUUCAUAUAUGGAAUUCUUGUUUCUAAGCUUUUUGGUUUUCAUAUCAGUCUUCCCUUGAGAAUUACAUUGAAUAACUAUUUCUGAUGAAUUCAGGUUUCCAAUCCAAUCGAAGAAGCAAUCCCUGAGGAGGGGUGGGUGGUUUGCCGUGUAUUUAGAAAGAAGAACUAUCAAAAAACCCUAGAGUGUACUAAAGGUUCAUCGAGCUCGAUGGACUCGAAGACCCAGAUCCUUAGUUCUGGCAACGAUGGAGUUCUUGAUCAAAUACUUCUCUAUAUGGGUAGGACUUGCAAGAUGGAGAAUGAAUCAUUUAGCCACAUGAAUCUAUCCAACAACAGCAACAAUAACAGCGUUAGAUUUCUCUCAUCUAACAACACAGGCAUCGGUGAAGGGCUUCAUGAAGGAUUUAUGCAUCUUCCAAGGCUAGAUAGUCCAACCCUUCCUCCGGUUACAAUCAACAGCCCCCCCUUUGAUGAAGAUAAUAAUUUCAGAUCUUGCUAUCCGUCGUAUGAUGAGAUGCUCAUAGAGAAUAACAAACCUUCCUCCCCCACCACCACCAACAACAAUAAUCACCACCACAACCAGCGCUACCACCUCCCCCCCAAUGGCUUUGACAUGACCUCGAUACACGAAAACAACAAAUCCGGGCUUAAUGACUGGGCUAUCUUGGAUCGUCUGGUGGCAUCACAGCUGAAUGGUCAGGUAGAGACAUCGAAGCAACUAUCUUGCUUUAGUGACUCAAAUGGGAGUUUUGGUCUGCCUCCUGAUGAUGACAUGCAAUUAUCACAGCUACAUGGGCACUCGAAUAGAUCAAGUCAAGGAAAUUCUCAGGUCUACAGUAGCGAGAAUGAUAUAUGGACCUUCACUAAAUCAUCGUCCCCAUCGUCAUCAGACCCAUUAUGCCACUUGUCCGUAUAACCCAAGUGUCUAAAUAUACCAUAACAACAUAGAAUCUCCUAUAGUCCUUCUAGGUAUGUAUCAGUAUACGUUAUAUCAUAUAUAUAGUCUUUGUCCAUAUAUAUAUAUAUAGCACAUGUAUUGGAUAAAUAAUAAAAAUAAUCAAGUGAUAUUUGAGAUAGGUUGGCAUUGUAAAACAUUAUCAUGUUAUUUUCAUUAAUAACGAUGUCGUCCAUGCCCAAAUUUUUAUUUAAGAGACG
rnacentral:misc_RNA from 1 species